rnacentral:rRNA from 1 species
GAUGAACGCUAGCUACAGGCUUAACACAUGCAAGUCGAGGGGCAGCACUAGGUAGCAAUACUGAGGUGGCGACCGGCGCACGGGUGCGUAACGCGUAUCCAACCUUCCCGUUACUCUUGGAUAGCCUUCCGAAAGGGAGAUUAAUACAAGAUGGUAUUCAAAUUCCGCAUGUUAUUUGAAUUAAAGAUUUAUCGGUAACGGAUGGGGAUGCGUGACAUUAGAUAGUAGGCGGGGUAACGGCCCACCUAGUCUACGAUGUCUAGGGGUUCUGAGAGGAAGGUCCCCCACACUGGAACUGAGACACGGUCCAGACUCCUACGGGAGGCAGCAGUGAGGAAUAUUGGUCAAUGGUCGGAAGACUGAACCAGCCAAGUAGCGUGAAGGAUGAAGGUUCUAUGGAUUGUAAACUUCUUUUAUACGGGAAUAAAACCUCCCACGUGUGGGAGCUUGUAUGUACCGUAUGAAUAAGCAUCGGCUAACUCCGUGCCAGCCGCCGCCGUAACAC